UACGUAGGGUGCAAGCGUUAUCCGGAAUUAUUGGGCGUAAAGGGCUCGUAGGCGGUUUGUCGCGUCUGCUGUGAAAACCGGAGGCUCAACCUCCGGCCUGCAGUGGGUACGGGCAGACUAGAGUGCGGUAGGGGAGAUUGGAAUUCCUGGUGUAGCGGUGGAAUGCGCAGAUAUCAGGAGGAACACCGAUGGCGAAGGCAGAUCUCUGGGCCGUAACUGACGCUGAGGAGCGAAAGCAUGGGGAGCGAACAGG
rnacentral:rRNA from 1 species